GAAAGUAAAGGAAAGCCCCUAAAUUUCGAAAACCCUCCCCCUCACUGCAAUCUUUCUCAAUCUCUCCACUGCCAGCGUCGGUGGCUUCUGCGACUGAGCGCUGACCAGCCAAACGCACCGCUACCACCUCUCAUCGGCGUCUUCUCCCUCACUCUCAGGUUUUCUUUUCCCGUCACGCGUCCGUGGCUCCAUUUCGACUUCAUCCUAUUUUUACAUUAGAUUCAGGUUUUGAAGGAUUUUAUCGUGUUGUCCAGCAAAUGUUAAUUACAUUUUGGGGAAUUUCCAGUCAGACGACCUACGGGGAUUAUUUGUGCAAUUUGGUCCUCUUAAGGACACUUAUUUGUCACGAGAUUAUUAUUCUGGAUUCAGUCGAAGUUGGGUUACAGUACAUUGAGAAGUUCAAGUCUUGAAGAAUUUCAUCUCAAUUUUUUCUUAGCCACUCAAAAGGUUAGCAUGGUGAUGUUAAUAUUCUCUUGUUAGAGCUCUCUAUCGAUGUUUCUGUCACUCUCAAUCGAUAGAUUAAUGAUCAAUGAUGCCACUAGUUUAAGUGGCAUUUUGGAAAAACAUGCUAAGUUUUUUUUUUUAAUAAGAUUCUUUGUAAAUAUUAAAUAUUAGGGGUGGGUGUGGAAAUGGAUGGAGAGAUUGGAGAAUGAAAUCUGUCCUUUUUUUUUUUUUUUUUGGAGAGAGGGGAUUUUCAAGAUGAGCGUAUAUCAAAAGACGAAUGAGAUAUUUAAAAAAAGAGUUGUAAACUCUUUAGGAUUGUAUGAAGGAAAGAAACAGAUAAACGAUAUAUUAUUA